rnacentral:tRNA from 1 species
UAUUUUAAAGUUAACCCUUCCUUAAUAUCUUCAAUAUUAUACUCUAAAUAAGCUAUUAAAAC